rnacentral:lncRNA from 1 species
GGAAACAUCAAAAUUUUCCACUCUUUAGUUUCUUUAAAAUAAUUGUUAUUUCUUCUCGAGCGAAGCUUUUUUUAAAGAAUAUUUUGGUAUGAGAAGUUUAUCUGUUGCAUCAGUUACAUGGCACUUACUGUGUUUUGUUGGAGGGUUGCCGUGAUAGAGAUAAUUACCAAAGUGGAAACGAGGGAAGGGCAAAGCCAAAUGACGGAGCCAUCUCGAUCGAUCAUGGAGAGGUUUACGAGCACCUUCUCAAGCAAAGCUCUAUGGAAUGUUGUACUUCCGAGCCGUAUCCAUAAGAUUGAUAUGAGGAAAGCAUCUCGUUUCGUGUCAAAGAUCGACUUCGGAUCUGGUUAGUUUUUUUUUUCUUUUUUUUUUUUUUGCUAAGAAAACUGUUUUCUUUCACUUUUUAUUUUUGAUUUUAAAUUUUGAUACUAUAUAUAUAUAUACACAUAUGUUUUACACAAUCAUGUCAAUAAACAUUUUUAUGGUCCGUCAGAGGUGUAUAGGUUUAGUAUGUUAUUCGUAUUAUAAAUUUAAGACUUACAUUAGCUUUCAUUUUGGAGAAAAUUUCAAUAUAUCGAAAACAAACCAAACUAUAUACAUAUACACCUGGUUAGUUUUUUUUUCUUGUUUUUUUGCUAAGUAAACUGUUUUCUUUCACUUUUUAUUUUUUUUUUUGAAAAAAGGUUUUCAAUUUAAAUGCUAGAAAGAUACAGAGAUAAGGUUUUAGGGACCUUAAGAGUUCAAAGAUAAAACAACAUGCAACGGUUUUAAAGUCAAGAGAGACGCGAAAGCAACAUAGUAUGAUGAAGGCAACACUUAACAAGAUUUUGUUGUGAACUCAGUGAUGAGGACCUCUUCCUCGGCCUCUUUUUCCUUUCCCUGUAACAGUAAACCAUUCCAUCUCCUUAAGCCUUUGAGAUGGCUUUAAUGGCCUACCGCCUCGUGACCUUAGUGUUGAUUCAUCAUCUACAAACGGGUCACGAGGAUGUGUAGGGGAAGUAUCAUGAGAGGCAAAAGUAAAUGGUAAUGGAGAAUUUGAAAAGACAAGUUCCUUGGCUGGUGGGACACUCGAUGGUUCACUGGCAUCAGCACUAUCCAAUACCGCAAAUAAGUUGUCAUGAACAAAUGGUACAGAAGACGGAGAGGAGUUAGAGUUAUCAACCACAAUAUCAACAUUCCCAACAAACUUCCCUGAAGGAGCCUCUGGAGUUGGUGGUACAGAUUGUGUUGAGGAGUCAACAGGUUCUGCGACAUCUAAUUGUUUGCAGGUUUCGUCAUUAGGAGAGACGGAGACAUCUAAUUGUUUGCAGGUUUCGUCAUUAGGAGAGACGGAAACUACGGUAGGUGGUGGGAGUUCCUUUUCAUCAGUAACAGCAGUAACAUGAGUAACUUGAACAAUUUCAGAAGGUGUACAAGACACAUGAACCUUUUCAGUGAAAGAGCCUGUAGGAGUGUUUACAGCCACAACUGAAGCAGAGGGGACUGUGGUGACUUCUCUACUUGGUUCUUCUAUUUCUGAGUUUUCAUUUAUAGGGAGGCCACUUCCUUCAUGAUCAAGAAGAAUACAACCUUGAGAAUCAAAAGAUAAAGCAUCUGUUUUUUCCUGAGAUUCUAGUGGAGCUGAUUUAGUAGCUUUGAGAGACUGAUAUGCAGCAGAAGAGUUUUCAGAUACAGCGUUGAUUGGAACCAGAGGGAGACCAAGGCAUCUAGGUGCUUUGUGACCUAACUGCCCACACUUAGGGCACACAGAAGGCAGCCAUGAGUAUAUAACAGAAACCAUUGAUACUGAACCACUUUCAUCUUCGAGUGCUACUCUUUGAGGAAAUGGUCUAUCCAACUUAACUUCAACCAGAAUUUUUGCCUCACCCAUCAGUAUAGGAUCAAGCCAAGGCUUACUCGUGAGCAUCGGUGCCCCUAUACCGGAAGCUAUCCAGCUUAUACCUUUCUUGGAAUAAAGCUGGUGGGGAAUGUCUUUCAGAGUAAGCCAAACCGGGAUUGUAGAUAUCUCAGGGACAGUGAUAGUACCCUUAGGAUCCCAAGUAGAUACAAACAUUAUACAAUCAUCCACAUGCCAUAUACCUCUCUGAACUACCCACUUACGAGUAAACUCAUCCGGAAUGUGAAACAAAAAAGCGUUGUUUCCUAUCUCACGAGUGUAGAUCCGGCAUCUAGUUCCCCAGAUUCUACUAACAACAGAUUGAAUUAAGCCAGAAGCAGGGGCAGAGCACCGAUAGAAUUGACCAAUUACAAAUUCCUUCUGGUUCUCUAAUCCUUCUAGUAAGACAUGGCGAGGAAUACGUACCUUUGGCGUACCAUCCUCGAGGAACUCAGGCGAGGUGACCUUAUGCAGAUUUCUCUUAGACUUCUCCAUUUUUGAAGCCCAAGGAUACUCAGGAUCAUUAUCACAGAUACCUAGUGGUACCUUGGCAGUUACACUCGAGGAGUAGCUAUUAUGCGGAGAAGGCCUUGAAGCGUUGAUUGCCCUAGCAACAGGUUGACGACGCCGAGAUGGAGCACAGUUGGCUGCCGAAAGCGAGGGCCACUGAGUUUCUCUGGACAAAUCGGCUAUCAGUUCCUUCGAGGUCUGCAUGAGAACCGUAGCUGCAGAAGAAGGUUGAGUGAUGGAGAGAGGCUUCGACCAAGCAUUAGAAGUAGUGACCGUGGAGAUUGGCUGGUCCGACUCCUUUGGGGAAGCUGAGAAGGAGCCACCAGAAAUAGUGGCUAACAGAGGAGUCCCACUGGUUGGAAGAACCAUAUCGACACUGGGAUCGACAGUAGCAACAUCAACAGUAGCUGGGACUUUCGCUAGUGGAUUUGAAUCUGAUUUGAGGGAAUCCAUGAGUAGAGUAGGGGAGAAACCUUCAGAUGAUGGCAGACUGGAGCCCCCUUACACGCGAGGUGGCCAGAGACGCCGGUAAUGGCCUCCGAUUAGAUUCAAUUUGGGGUUUCUAAGUUUCGCCUUCGAAGUCGCUUGUUUUUUAGUUUACUACGGAGUUAUUAUUAUUAUUAUUUGAUUUAUUCACUUUUUAUUUUUGAUUUUAAAUUUUGAUACUAUAUAUAUAUAUACACAUAUGUUUUACACAAUCAUGUCAAUAAAAACUUUUAUGGUCCGUCAGAGGUGUAUAUGUUUAGUAUGUUAUUCGUAUUAUAAAUUUAAGACUUACAUUAGCUUUCAUUUUGGAGAAAAUUUCAAUAUAUUCAAAACAAACCAAACUGUAGCAUCCUGUCUAUAGAAUUUAUAUGGUCCGUUAGAGGUGUAUAUACGUUUAGCUGUUUUUUGUAUUGUUAAUUUAGCGGUUAGACUAAUUUUCAUUUUGGAAAAAGUGUAAGUAGUAAAUUUCUAUAUGUUAAAACAAACCAAACUUUUACAUCCUGUCCAUCGGAUUUUUUAUGGUCUAUUAAAAGUGUAUAUAUUAUAUAUUUUUAGUAUUGUAAAUUUAAUAAAACUAUUUUUCAAAGUUUUUUUUUGUGUAUGCAAGCAAAGUAAGUGUUUUGAUUUAAUCAAAGUUUUCAACAAUACGUAUAAUAUGCUUUUCCUUAUUGUAAUUUUAACGAGGAACGGAGCCAUCUCGGGAGAGGUUUACGAGCACCAGGAGUAGUUAGUUUCGAGGAGGUGAUAAAAAUUAUUGAUAAGAAGAAAUCAGAGAUCAAGGAAGGAGAUACCAGCCUGGGGCGUUCGGUUUUGGUUCGGGUGAUUCGGAUUUUCGGUGUUAUGCUCAUAAGUACCAUUCGGUUUUUACUAAUUAUCGGACCGGGUUCGGUUCAGAUCGGAUUUAACUAAUGUUUAAAAUAGUACAAAAAUAUAUUUUUAAAAAACUCGAAAAUUGACCAAUUUUUUUUAAAAAUAUAUAAAUUAUUUACAAAUCUAAUUAAAAAUUAGUUAAACUAAAAAAGUAUUCAAAAUAACAAAUAAAACAAACUACAAAAAUAUUUUGAAUACUCUAAAAUAUCUAAAUCAACUUAAUAUAUAUAAAAACAUUAACAUAUUUAACUAAUUUCGGAUAUCUUCGGAUCCUAAUUCGGAUUUUAAUUCGGUUCGGGUUAUAACCAAAGUCCAAAGUAGUAAGCUAAUAAGUCUCAUUUGGAUAUUUUUGUAAAAUAGUUCAGAUUCAAUUUCAGUUUUUCCGGUUCGGAUUAAGGUCGGUACUUCGGAUUGAGUUAAAAACGUCCAGACCUAGGAGAUACGCUGAAACAGAAGAGUAUAAAGAAAUUCAAAAGUAAGCCAAAGUGGAGCUGAGGAGUUCACAGUUACAGCAUAGCGAGAGGGAGUUCAAGAAUGGCAUUUACAUAAUUAGGGGAGGGGUGAGAUAAAAUUUUCAUAACAAUUUGUAAUAGCUAAGUUUAUAUUAUUUCCCAAAAAUCAG